rnacentral:misc_RNA from 1 species
GUCCAUUUAGAAUCAUCGUUAUAGAGAUUGCUCCCCACAAAAGGGAAAAAGGUGACCACCGAAUAAACUGGAAGGCACCUGCUAUACCAAACCUACAGGAUGGAUCAAAACUUAAAAUUUGGAAUUCAAGUGAGUAUACUCUCACAGGCCUUGAUCUCCUCCGCCUGCCCAUCAACAAUCACCUGACCAGCCGGGGUUGCCGUCACCACCUUCAUCACAGCAUUGAAUAUAGCAGACUGGAACAUAUCGUCUUCCACUUUCUUCAGAACUUCCUCCACCACUUUGAAUCGCAAACCACCAACCAGGACCAGCUUUCCAAUAACUUCACCAAAAUAGGUGGGUGCUUUCGGCAAAUCAAUCCCUAUAUCAUCCAGCAUCGAUGCAUAUAGUAAACACCCUGUCCCUAAAUCCUUCGGCAUAAACACCUUCUUAGAAAGGAAGUACUCCAGAAGCUUAACAAGCGGGUCAAUACAGGAUUGGCCCUUAUCAAGAGCAAGAUUGAUGGCCUCCUUGACAACCUCAGGGUGGAAUUCAGGGCUCUUCAACUCUUCCACACACUGAAGUGCUUCAUCCAACAUUCGAAUAUGGAAAUACUCUUCCAGGAGAGAAGUUGUUUUCUUCUGCAGCUCAAUAAGAUUUAAUCUUGGAGCAGCAGCCUUUGGCUUCUCAGUAACAGGUGCUGGGGAAGUAACUGGACCAAGCGGUUUUGAAGGCCCUGGACCUGAGCCGGUAACAAGACUUGAAGGUCGACUUGGCAGGCCACCACCACUUCCCAGCAGUGCACUGGUCUUGCCAGCAAUGAUACCACCACUACCCUGCGGUAGCAGCUUUGAGUUGAUAGGCAAUGCUCUGCUGGCAAUAGGAUUCUGCAUUCUAGAAGCAUCACCCUUGUGUGAGGAUCUAGAUCGCUGAACUUCCCAAUUGUCACCGUCUAGGCCUGGCAUCCCGGGCAUCUUUUUUCCUCCCGGCAUUCCAGGCAUCUUACCUCCAGUUCCAGGUCCAAUACCAGAAAGGCCACCACCUGACGUACCUCCACCACGACCAUCUCUAAUGUUGGAAGAACUUCCCGCACGAAGCCCAAGGGACUUCUCUGCCUCAGAGUGGAUUUCACUAAUAGUCUUGGCCUUCACCUCUUCACGCCGGGGGACCCAUUUGUUCGCUCGCAAAUCAAGGACAUCACGUAUCAUAAAUUUGAGCCGUGCUGCAAGAUCAGGGUGUGUUCUAAGCUCCUUUAGCCGAAUAAAGUAACCAUCAUUAAAACGACGGAACUUAGGACUUGCAUCCAAUUGCUUGCCAAUGGUAAUGAAAAACUGGCAAAUUGCCUCUACAUUUUCUUCAGCGGGGCAAGUCUUGCUAUCAGGCCCAAGAAGUUCCUGAACAAUGUGAUGAACA